rnacentral:lncRNA from 1 species
GGGUUUCGAUUUGAGCCAGGUAUUGAAGAUCAAAUUGUGUAUGGUGAUAUAAUGAAAAGACUGGGGGAUCAACAGUUCCUCUUUUGCUUGUUUAAUCAGAUCUGGAGGAUUCAACAACGUCUAUCUGACGAGUUUCCUUCUAUUCCCUCGCUGCUGCUCACCAUCGUCGGGAUGAAGCAUCCGACCGCCUCUUCCGCCAGUCGGGAGCAAAUCGACUCUGCAAACAAAUGAGAGAAUCAGAAAAUGAUUAAGAAAGUUCGCCGAUGAUUACUGUGAUUAGGGAUAAUUACAGAGAGGGUUAAGGAAUUUUAUUUCAAUGGUAUGAUAAUGUUCUGUUGUGGUUUUGAGAAAACAGGGGUUGAAAUUGCAGAAUCUUUUUCGCGAAUUGGUUGUCGCUAAUCCAGGGAAGAAAAUAAUGAGAUAAGAUCGUGGAUUAUUAGUUGAGAUUAAGUUAAGGAAAGUUUGGGGUUUCUUAGUUGGGAUUAAGUCUGUCGGCUUCUCCGCCUCCGCCUCCGCUGUCG